AUACGGAGGGUGCAAGCGUUAAUCGGAAUUACUGGGCGUAAAGAGUACGUAGGUGGUUGGUUAAUUCAGAUGUGAAAGCCCCGGGCUCAACCUGGGAACUGCAUUUGAAACUGGCAAACUAGAGUAUGGUAGAGGGGGGUAGAAUUUCUAGUGUAGCGGUGAAAUGCGUAGAUAUUAGAAGGAAUACCAGUGGCGAAGGCGGCCCCCUGGACCAAUACUGACACUGAGGUACGAAAGCGUGGGUAGCGAACAGGAUUAGAUACCCUAGUAGUCC
rnacentral:rRNA from 1 species